CCCCUUGCAUCCGCCCACGUCACCCCCUACAUCUGAGGUGUCUCGCAAGGGACUAUGGACAUAAACGCGCUCGUAAUACGCGGAUCGGACCCGGGGGCGGUACCCGGCGGCUCCACCAAACAUCCUUCAUUUGGGGA
rnacentral:tmRNA from 1 species